rnacentral:rRNA from 1 species
UACGAAGGAUGCGAGCGUUAUCCGGAUUUAUUGGGUUUAAAGGGAGCGUAGGCGGUCUUAUAAGUCAGUGGUGAAAUCUCGAUGCUUAACAUCGAACGUGCCAUUGAUACUGUAGGACUUGAGUACAGUAGCCGUUGGCGGAAUGUGUCAUGUAGCGGUGAAAUGCAUAGAUAUGACACAGAACACCGAUUGCGAAGGCAGCUGACGACACUGUAACUGACGCUGAGGCUCGAAAGCGUGGGGAUCAAACAGG